GGGGAUGACUGGUUUCGACUUCGUUCGUUGAGUCAGGGGAAGCGAGUCGAGAUAGCCGACGUCAGCUCGUUAAUCGUCGUCGGAAAACAAUAAGCGCCAACAACAUGCGCUCGAACUACGCUCUCGCUGCCUAAGCGUUAGCUAGUUCUGUCAGCCCGGGUUCGCCUUCGGCCCGGUUCCUGGCAUCAGCUAGAAGGCUUACCAACCGAGCCCGGUGACGGGGCUCAUGCGGGAAAUCAAACAGUUACUGGGCCUGUCGUACCAACUCGCUCACGAGAUUGGUAGGGCCAAGUAGGGACACAGUGAGCUGCACUCGGAGAAGCCCUGGUUAUACGACGGAGGACCCGGGUUCGAUUCCCGGCAUCUCCAC
rnacentral:tmRNA from 1 species